UACGUAGGGGGCAAGCGUUGUCCGGAUUUAUUGGGCGUAAAGAGCGUGUAGGCGGCCAGGCAGGUCUGUUGUGAAAACUGGAGGCUUAACCUCCAGACGUCGACAGAAACCGUCUGGCUAGAGUCCGGAAGAGGAGAGUGGAAUUCCUGGUGUAGCGGUGAAAUGCGCAGAUAUCAGGAAGAACACCAAUGGCGAAGGCAGCUCUCUGGGACGGUACUGACGCUGAGACGCGAAAGCGUGGGGAGCGAACAGG
rnacentral:rRNA from 1 species